AAGUCAAGCAGGGAGUCGCACGAGAUAUUUUAAAUGAGUCUUGCAUUUUUAGAUGACAGCCUUAUCGGGGAUAGAUCCCAAUACCCACGAGGAAUCCUAAUAAAAUUCCUCUGUAAUCCUACUAGAACUCAUACCAUGUAAUCCUACUAGGAUUCCUACCUUGUAACCGACUAGUAAUCCCGCUCCCUGAGUAUAUAAAGGAGGGCAGAAGUCCCUAGAUCGGUAGGCCAAGACCUCAUAGAACCAUAACAAAGGACCAAAUCCUCAACACCAAACAACACCCAAGCGCAGGGCGCAAUAUACAACACCCCAAAUAGGACGUAAUGUAUUAUGCUACUCUGGUGGCCCGAACCUAUAUAAAUCCGUGUCUUGUGUCCUCACUUUUACUUUUAAGUUCCAGGUCCGACGAUUCCCCACCAACCAAUCUAUUACCUCAGGAUACCCCUCGUUAGUUUACCGGGUAUAAAACACCGACAAGCCCUUUACAAACAUAUUUUUUCAAAGAAAGGUCCUUUAGGUAGGUAAUAAGGGCAUUGAAAUAAAUAAAAAGCUUUAAUGCAGUCCUCCUGAUUGGAUUAUAUUCAACGCACAAGACAUUAUCCAAAAAAAAGGUACAAAAUGAUAUGCAAAAAUCAAAUUUGUGGUUGAUAACCAUAAUUUAUAAGUCCAUACAUUAAUUAAUUAAUUUGCAAAUAUCUAAAUAGAUAUUACUCUUAGAAUUCUC
rnacentral:lncRNA from 1 species